UACGUAGGGAGCGAGCGUUGUCCGGAAUUAUUGGGCGUAAAGGGCGAGUAGGCGGCACUUCGUGUAGGGUGUGAAAGCCCCCAGCUUAACUGGGGAGGGUCACUCUAAACUGGAGAGCUAGAGUGCAGUAGAGGCUAACAGAAUUCCCGGUGUAGUGGUGAAAUGCGUAGAUAUCGGGAGGAAUACCAGUGGCGAAGGCGGUUAGCUGGACUGUAACUGACGCUGAGGCGCGAAGGCUAGGGUAGCAAACAG
rnacentral:rRNA from 1 species